AUUGCCCUAAUCUAACCAGAAUCUCAUUCUCAUCACAAUCCCACAAAAGAUUUUUUUUUUCUAUAUCUGAACCCAAUCCCAAUCGAUUAAUAUACCUUUUCAUCACCUCUAGCAACGAAAUUCUAAUUGGAUAAAUUCAAAAGUGUUAAAUUCUAAUCGGAGAAAUUCAAAGUAAUCAAAUUCCAAUCGUAAAUUGAGUUAAAUUCCAAUCGGAGAAAUUCAAAGGAUUCAAAUUCCAAUCGAAGGCCAGAGUUUUACAAUAAGUUCGCAUUUUAAUUCUUCUUCUUUCGCUCCUCCCCUUCAGAGAUCCCACGCUCAUCUUUGAGAAAGAAUUCUGAACUACGAAUUCAGAGUUAUUGCAAAAUCAUUCAAGCCCUUCCCUACCGUGCGUCCUCAUUCAAGAAGAACAAAAUUAUUGCGAUCCACAUUCAAUUGGCUGUGAGAAACGAUGAAGAGUUGAGGAAGCUUUUGAGAGUGAUGACAAUUACGAACGGAGGUGUUUAAUUUUCUGGUUAUUUGAUUUCAUCGAAUACAAUUUGAACUCUAACAUUGUGUAAGAACAAAUUUUGACCAGAACUAGGUAUGCUAUAGUGUUUUAAUCACUUUUAUUUUGCUAUAAAGGAAAGACUAUGCUCAACAACAAUCUAUUAGCAAUUCAUAUAUAUUGUGCAGCCGGAAAAGAGAAUAGUUUCAAUAACUACUAUUAUUGCUAUUGUUGGGGCAAUUGGUGUAUGAUUAGUAGUAGCCGCCAUAACAGGAACAGGUUACUGGAAUUAUGACCAAUUUGUUUGUAUCAAACAAAGGUUGUCUUAUUGGAGUUUAUUGCAGAAAUCUGAGAAGGGUCUGCAGCCAAAAGGUUUGAGAUUGCUACCAAGGUUGUGUAAGGAGGCACAACUCUGAAAGUAAUGAAAGCUUAACAUGUUCUGUUUAGACCAUUGCAGAAGUAGCCAAGAGGAGAGGUUGAGUUAUCCUUUUUGCCACAUUCAGUUGUGUCUUCUCUCACAUAUGGUUGUUGAGCAAAAAUUGAAGAGAAGCUACAACUAAUGAUGAUGAUGAUGAUGAUGAUGAUGAAGAAGAAAAUGGGCUUUGGAGAACUCAUUUUGUCUUGGAAAAUCUAAAUAGUUAUUGUUCUAAAUAUGUAUAUAUAUAUUAUUAACAAAGUCAACAAAGAAAGUGAAACUACUUGUGUGAAUGUGAUAAAGGAAGCACUUUUAACA